rnacentral:rRNA from 1 species
GAUGAGCGCUGGCGGUAUGCCUAACACAUGCAAGUCGUACGCCUCACUUCGGUGAGGAGUGGCGGACGGGUGAGUAACACGUUAGUACCUGCCCCAAAGUGGGGAAUAACUGCCCGAAAGGGUAGCUAAUACCCCAUAGUCUCCGGUUUAUCCGGAGUAAAGAUUUAUCGCUUUGGGAGGGGCUUGCGUUUGAUUAGCUAGUUGGUGAGGGUAAUGGCCCACCAAGGCGACGAUCAAUAGCUGGAUCGAGAGGUUGACCAGCCACACUGGGACUGAGACACGGACCAGACUCCUACGGGAGGCAGCAGUGAGGAAUAUUGGUCAAUGGGCGCAAGCCUGAACCAGCCAUCCCGCGUGAAGGAAGAAUGCGCUACGCGUUGUAAACUUCUUUUCCAGGGGGAGAAUAAUCCUGUCGUGACAGGACUUGACGGUACUCUGGGAAUAAGCAUCGGCUAACUCCGUG